rnacentral:misc_RNA from 1 species
UCUGAUUCCAAAAUGGUUGUACUUUUCAUCUCCUCUGUAUCUUUAGUGUUCAUAUUUCCUAUGGCAGUGUUCUUGAUGAGGCUGGAAGAAGGAGAGAAUUUCCUUGAUGUGCUUAACCCAUGCACCAAGAAGGAGACUGCAGCACUAGGGGAUUCUAACAUUCGAAACUUGAAGCGUGGAGAGAUAUUGCAACUGGAGAGGAAGGGUUACUUUAGAUGUGAUGUUCCUUUUAUCAGACCUUCAAAGCCUAUAGUUCUGUUUGCAAUUCCAGAUGGCAGGCAGGCAACCUCAUCAAAGUAGACCUUGACAUUUGACUAAACUAUUUUCUGGUUCUGAGAAGUUGAAGUUAAACUUCAUGUUCUUCUUGAUUAUAUGGGGAAGAAUUGGAGUUUUCAACUCACUUCCUCUAGUGUGUGGACAUGCAAAUUUUUAUGGAAAUUUUUGAUAAAUCUCCUACCUUAUUCAUGUUUCUAUACGUGUUAUGAAUUAACGUAUGCAUUUUUGUAACUGAACCAAGGUGUCACUUGCACUGCAUGAGAGUAGUGUCCAUAUUGAAAGAACAUAUUAAUGUAGAAAAAUCUGAAGCGGUACAAUGAAGCAGGGGUGAGAAGAGACAAAAAUUAGUCGUUCUUAUUGAAUGUAGGAAUGUUUUGGAUCUGGAUGGAUGUGUUCUUUACAUUCUCGUACAUCUUUAAUUGGUAAUCUCUGGAUUGAUGUAGCCAUACUCUGUCUGCAUUUUUGCUAGCUCCUGUCAUAUUCUUAGAAGAAAUUCAUUGAAGCUUUCUGCUCGUAGAUUGGAGGGAUUUGGUGCUCAUUGUUGUCGAUGUUGACCUGUACUACCAUAGGUAAGAUGUCACCUCGGACAGCUUGGCCAACUUUCUUCUAAGCAUGUCUCUAAAUGCAUGAACCCAUCAAACUCUUUCCUCGAUAAUCAUGUACACUUGAAUUCACCACAUAUAAUGAUUAUAUCAG